AAUAACAUCUUAUGUUUUACAUUCACGAUCUCGGAGCCCCUGAGUCCUGGGAGGUCGCUGAUUUGGACGAGAGCAUGAGCAGAUUGAUGCUCUCUUGUUCAUCCUCCAAGAAAGAUGCCUCUUCCUCUUCCUCUCUCGAUGCCUCGGUACCAGCUUCAGCUUCUGCUUCUGCUCCGGCUUUGUUGUCUUCGUCGGUUCUGGGAUGAUUUCCGAGGACUCUGUCAACCAAGUGGAUCAGUUUCUUCGGGAGGCUCUGCAGAAUCCGCGUGAGCGGCUGUCAAGAAGAGAUGCAUGACAUUCAAGAGCAAAGUACCCUGAAGAUUGAUACUCUUGUCUGACUUAGAGACAACUCAUUGAGUGCUCGAGAAGUGAUCAAGUUACAUUCAAGGUUUGGGAAAUGAAUCACAACUUAAGUGUUCGAGUGCAACUGAAUUUCCUAAUGAAGAGACAAAGAAGUUGCGACGAUAGAUCAUAGAGUUUUAAGACUACAACUACCACUCAAUUGGUGGAGUUGAAGGCAAUGAUAUAGAGUUUCAUGCCACAACAAACCAAUACUUUUAACUAACCACCACCUCAUUUUGGCUUAGCUUCCCAACCAUCAGCUCACUAUCAAGUUACAUUAUUAUGUGGUUUACUACUAUUAUAUGUUAGUCAUUUUUAUUUUAGAUAAUAUUCAAAUAGCAUAGAAAAUGUUUUUUGCUA